rnacentral:rRNA from 1 species
UACGUAGGGGCCGAGCGUUGUCCGGAAUUACUGGGCGUAAAGCGUGCGCAGGCGGCUUUGCAAGACAGAUGUGAAAUCCCCGGGCUUAACCUGGGAACUGCAUUUGUGACUGCAUGGCUGGAGUGCGGCAGAGGGGGAUGGAAUUCCGCGUGUAGCAGUGAAAUGCGUAGAUAUGCGGAGGAACACCGAUGGCGAAGGCAAUCCCCUGGGCCUGCACUGACGCUCAUGCACGAAAGCGUGGGGAGCAAACAGG